rnacentral:tRNA from 1 species
GGUCCCGUCGACUAGUGGUUAGGUCACCAGCCUUUCACGCUGGUAACACGGGUUCGAAUCCCGUCGGGAUCA